UCCUGGGUAGCUCAGACAGUAAAGAAUCUGCCUGCAAUGCAGGAGACCUGGGUUCAAUCCCUGGAUUGGGAA
rnacentral:tRNA from 1 species